CUAUGUAAAAGACUCGUCGUCCGCAUCAACGAAUUCAUUCAUCGGCCAACUUCUCUUCUCACGAGAAGAGAGCUAAAUCUGGAGAAAGCGAUUUUAUAACCAAGACGUGAAACUCUGCGACGAGCUGUCCAUUUUAAGGUUACAUUUAGAAGGGAUCAACUUUUGAUUUUGAUACGUCGCACAGGAUUAAGCGGCCAUUGUCCCGAUGCCGAUCUUGAAUGGCGGGCCGCUGCCGUCGCUGCCGACGGGAUAUUAUACAGUCGCCUGUAAGGAAGACCAAACUGACUCCUUCACAAAGGAUUAUUAAUUGACUUCUGUCUCGUAUCAGAGGGUCGCAGACGCUCGGAAGAUCCUUAAUUAUCCUUGAAAACGGCAGAUCUUUGUCGUCUGAGAUUGCUUCCCGUUGCAGCCCCGGUAUAGUUUGUCCGUAGAUUGUCGACCGAAUGGACAAUCGUAACGUGAUGAGAUUUCAUCGAAACUUGCGAUACAAAACGCGAUGGAUUUUACGAUCUUAAUAUUGAUAUAAUCAUACCGUGAAGUCGAUGUACUCCAUUCUCAUGGCGUGGUGCAAUUCAUGCGUGAUAUUCGACGGAUUUCGAAGAGAGUAUCUUUAUAAUUAAUAACGAUGGCUGAUUAAUUCAUCAGCGGUAUUGAUAGAAGAUUUCUGCGGCCGAUUGUUUGCCGAGAUCUAAAGAUGCAGAAAGGGGGAGAUUCAUCUGUUCCCUGGCGGAAUAUUCUUCGCAACGGGAAACAACGGCGGGUGUAUCGCGGCGAUAAAUUGGCAAGGGAGCGUCUUGCUUUUCGCCGGAGAUGACGACGUGCAGUGCGGUACAAUGAGAGAGCAUAAUAUUCAGUGGCUGUGCGAAUUGUCUUCCACCCCAGAAGUCACCCUCCCCCCCGGACCCAUGAUUGACUGUUUGCAGACUGGGUGUCUCUUAAACAACGGAAACGGACCGGUCUGGUCGCGACAAUGAGACGCGACUUUCGAAGAAAUAUGAGAGAAUAUUUUGCAUAAUGUGAAACGAGAAAUAUAAAUGAUAGAAUAUCGUGUCAGAGUUUUCAAAAAUUGUGAUGUGACCUCUGAUAGUUAAAUUACUUUCUAAUUUUAAACUUAUUUUAAACGUGUGCAAAAAAAUAAUUGUUCAAAUUGUUUAAAAGAGCUGAAAAAGGAUACUGAUAAAUUGAUUGAUCAUACUCCAAUAAAACGAAAAUUAUAAGUAAUAAAUUUGCGACAUAU